UACGGGGGGGGUAAGCGUUGUUCGGAAUUACUGGGCGUAAAGGGCUCGUAGGCGGCCAACUAAGUCAUACGUGAAAUCCCUCAGCUUAACUGGGGAACUGCGUGUGAUACUGGAUGGCUUGGAUUUGGGAGAGGGAUGCGGAAUUCCAGGUGUAGCGGUGAAAUGCGUAGAUAUCUGGAGGAACACCGGUGGCGAAGGCGGCAUCCUGGAACGAGAUUGACGCUGAGACGCGAAAGCGUGGGGAGCGAACAGG
rnacentral:rRNA from 1 species